GUAGGGAAUAUUGGGCAAUGGAGGCAACUCUGACCCAGCCAUGCCGCGUGCAGGAAGACGGUCCUCUGGAUUGUAAACUGCUUUUGAAUGGGAAGAACAUACGGUUUGCGAACCGUACUGACGGUACUAUUAGAAUAAGCACCGGCUAACUCCGUGCCAGCAGCCGCGGUAAUACGGAGGGUGCAAGCGUUAUCCGGAUUUAUUGGGUUUAAAGGGUGCGUAGGCGGCCUUAUAAGUCGGUGGUUAAAGGUAGCAGCUUAACUGUGUUACAUGCCAUCGAUACUGUAGGGCUUGAGUGAUUUGGAGGUAGCUAGAAUUCCCUGUGUAGCGGUGAAAUGCAUAGAUACGGGGAGGAAUACCGAUUGCGAAGGCAUGUUACUACGAAUUAUCUGACGCUGAGGCACGAAAGCGUGGGGAUCAAACAGGAUUAGAUACCCGAGUAGUCC
rnacentral:rRNA from 1 species